CUGAUCUUCGAGGUGCUUUGCAGCCGUUUUGAAGUUUUAUCUUUUUUGUGGUAUAUUUACUUCGGUUCAUCCCAUGUGAUCUGUGGUCGGGAUCGGGUCUUGUGCAAUUCGAUCCCGUGAACCCUGUCAGGUCCGGAAGGAAGCAGCAGUAAGCGGACUUUCGUUUGUGCCGCAAGGGUGCCUGCCCGACUGCAGUUCAGAUGGGAUGGACCUUUUUAUAUUCGGAAAAGGUCGG
rnacentral:SRP_RNA from 1 species